GAUUGACAAGGGAGGAGGGCAGGGUUACCAUGAUGGGCACGGAAGGGCCUGGAACAAAGGGCAGGUCUUUGGAAACAUGGGCAAGGGAGGUGGGAGGAUAAAGCUCAGGGACAAACCAUCUACAUAGGGGUGAUGGAACAAAGAAUUAUAAACUUAGUUUGUAAUGAAAACACACCACCAAAGACCUGAAAUGCUGAAGAAAAAAAAAUAGAGGUAACGCUUGGAUUUACUAUACUUCUCUUAAUGUUUAAAUUAGGAGUUUGUCCUGGCUGCAUCCCAUCCCAACCUCCCACAUACUGCCAGUGUCCUUGACAUUGUACUGGGAUGAAAAGCCAAAAAGGCCUUGAUGCUGUGCAAGCCUUGUGCAACAGUAACAAAAAUAUUUAUAUUAUCAACCCUGUGUUCAGCAUAUCUAUAGGUAAAAGUUGCAUGUUUGAGAUAGAGCUUCACAUAUUUUGUCUUGAAGAAACAGCUGGUGUUUUUUAAUGGAAACUGACAUGUAAAACAGCAUGACAAGUAGGUACCUCAGACCAGUGCUAACUUGUGUGAUGUAUUUCACCCUAUCUCUUCAUGCCAAGAGACAGAGUGCACCUCCACAGCAAGGAAACAGUGCAUUCAACAGCUGGGUAAGCCUCGGAAGACAGGAAAUUCAGAGUGGCUGAAGAAUACAUGCAACAGAGCAAGAUGGAAAAUGGUAGCAAGCUGUAACCCGCUGGUCAGCAAAUGAAGAUAUUCCUUUCUUACCAGCCAAUUGUCACAGAGGAAAUCAUGGCUGUGGUUAAGAAGGAAACACAUCUGCUGUCUUGUUAGAACCUAAAUUCCUCAAUCCUCCUGGGGAGAAGUAUCUACUCCAUGCAGUUGCCUGUGAGUGAGAACAGACUGAUCCCCAUCUGGCUACACCCUCCUGUCAGGUGGUUGCAAAGGGAUCAGAUCAGCCCUGAGCCUCCUUUUCUCCAAGCUAAACACCCCAGCUCCCUCAGCUGCUAAUCAUCACAUGUGCUCUGGAUCCUUCACCAGCUUCAUUGCCCUUCUCUAGACCCACUCCAACACCUCACUAUCCCUCCUGAAGGACCCCCUCUUUUCAUUUACUGAGGCUGCAGUCCUUCAGGAAUGGAUUUCUCCCAUCAUUCCCACAGACAGCACCUCCUGCCAGAAAGCCUUCUCCUGCAUGGUCUCACUUUGGAGGGCUGCAGUUUCUGCCAGGAACUCCAGUGUGGGCUUGCCACAGACUGCAGCUUCUUUCAGGGAGAAAAGCUUCUGCAUCACCAUCUUCAGCAAAAGCAGUGCCAUUCAUGACACCAAAUGAAUAACGGCAAGAUGGAAGGACUAGAUACAGAGCACAUUAAUUAAGUAAAAUAUUACUUUACUUUUACUACAGGAAACUUUGAUUUCAAUUGGUUUCUGCACACUAAUACAUUUCCUAAAACUGCUAUAAAUUUUUAUGGAUGGAUUACUUUAUCUGAAGAGCUCACAGUGAAUUACGAUUUGUACAAGGCUUUCCUCUCUGAGACUUAAUGUGUGUUUCUCUGUCUGUUGAACCAGACUUCAUAAAGGUUCUCCAGAGGUGCUAGGCAUCAUUAAGGAUAGAAAUAAGCUCUUCCCUCUUUCACUGAAAUACUAUAUUUAUUGCUUCAGUGUAGUAAUGUGAAUGUCCAUUUUGUUUCUCUUUGAUUUUCACUGUCAAUAUCUGGCCCCUAAUUAUAGAAUUAGAAAGGAUGACCUUAGUAAUGCAUCCAAAUGAAAAAUAAUUCAUAUUUUAUUCUCUGCCAAUAUACCCCUGAAAAAUUAAAAUAUGUAAAUUAAAACACCAGGCAGUUAAAAGAAUUAACUGGAAACCACAUGCUGUAUCAAAAGACUUAAGCUGUAUCAAAAGACUUAUUUCAAAAUCUGAGCACUUGAUGUAACUUAUUUAUGUGGAGCUAAGUCAGUUUACAGGAGUAACUACCCUAUGAGGGCUGCACAUUUUAGAACUGUUCUCACAGUUCUUCUGCCUGCAGUUUUAGAAAAAGAGAGUUUGUGAACCUACUAACUGUGGGGAAAAACUCCACAAACUCUACAGACAGCUUCAAGCCAUGUAAAUCAGAAUGCAGACAAAGAGCCUUUAAAACUCAACUUUGAAGUAGUACUCCUUUCCUCCUUUUCAGCCUCCAUUUCAGACUGUUUCAGAGAAACAGUCUGGACAGUCUGGCCUCCAUCUACUGGGAUUUUAUUCUAUUAUGGGCUGAGGACCAUGCUGGAGUUUAAAAUAUCUCGUGAUCUUCAACACAUGAGGACACUAUGAUCUGCGCAGAUCAAGUACCAGUAUCAGAAAAAUAUUGCAAGGCUAUUUUCCUGGUUUUGUGCUCACUUAAAAACAAUUCCCCAAAAAAAAAAAAAAAAAAAAAAGUUAUGCUUCCUCCUUUUUCACAUCUCAGAUGAAAAGUUAAUACCACAACUUUUCUAGGCACUGAAGACCUUCCCAGACUUUGGCAUGUUCAUUUGAUGCUCAGUUUACACUCACAGAUUCCAACUUGUACACCAGUUGUGUCAGCUCUGUCGUGAAUAUCCUAUAGCUGAACAAGGAGAACAGGCUGGAAGAUAUUUGGAGGCAGUCCCCUAUUCUGCAUGCAAUCUAGUCUAUUCUCCUAACACUAUUGACAAACAGAUCUGAAAACUGGCAAGGAUAUGUCAGUUUUAACAUGCAGAGAGCUCACAGAACUUUGAUGGAAGUGUUAACUUGGUUUGGAUUUUAAGUACAGACUUAUCACAUCAUAGAAACAUCCAGAUAUUACAAUACACAGAAUAUAAAGGUGGUAUAGGAUCAGAAGUGUAUAGUAACAUUUUUAGACUUAAAUUAUCUGCUUCUUUAAGCAGAAGAAGAAUGACAAGGAGAAAAGAUCAACUGUUUCUUUCCUUUCAUGGUAAUAAAAUCUGAAUGUAAUGCUUGAAAGAGGCAGUGUUCUAGGUAGGAUUUUGAUGACAUAUAUUUUAUUUUUAAUGAGACUUUUAUUUUACAUGUACUUAGAUUUCUGUAAUGGUUUUGUUGUUUGUUUUGAUUUUUUUUUGGCAGCUUAAUACCAGUUCCUUUUCUAAGCCUCAUUCACAAUGCAAUUGAGUUGAAGAGACAAAGCUUCAGACGCAUAUGGGCUAGUAAAUCCAGAAGUAAUAUUGGUUCAGCUUCUGUAUAUGUGUUCCAUCACUCAGUUUAUAAUUUUGUCUUACUUGUGAAGUUUGUUUCUAGUUUUUUUUCUAUUAUGUUUCUAGGUUUUUUUUUCUAUUAUGGUUUGGGAUUUUAAUUUCAUAGUAUAUAAUUUUGUGACAGAAACUUACAUUUUUUAGCUUUAAAAGGACAUUCCAGCACAGUGAUAGCUUUAUGUAAUCUCCUCUUCCUGGAUAAUUUACGCACACUCCUCUGAUGUAACAAAAAAACCCUCAUCUUCUUAUUCUAAUAAUGACUCCAGGUGCAACAAGGUAGAGGUAAGAUUUCUAUUAUAAUUUCUUUUAUGACAUUUACUUUUUACUGUACUAAUUGAUGUUGCCUAAUUUUUCAAUGUUUCUUUCCAUCAGUUAAUCAUCUUAUCAUAGUUCCUUCCUAAAUAGCAAUUAGUAGAGUGAGAUAAAACAUGCAAUGGAUUUUUAAAAUCAAACUCCUCAUCCUUCCUCCAUGAAAUAGAAAAUUCAUUAAAAGUAAUUAUAAUGUUAUAGUAUGCCAGAACCAAUACAGCAGAGGGUGGAUAAUUUGAUUAAACAGAGCUCUUCUAGUUAAACAAAUCUUACUAUUUGUAAUACAGAUGGAAUUCACAAGCUCAUAUGACUGUCCAAGAGAAAAACACUAGGAUUUGAUUAAUGACCCAUGUUCUUUGUUACAAGAACAAAACUGUCUUGUAAUAUAGUAAAGACACAGUACAGUCAAGUUUUCAGAUAAUAUUGUGAUUUUUAGUCCUCUUGUGUGAGUAAGGAAGUGACUCCUUAUACAAGAGUGAAGUUGAGUAGCAUCUGAAGGAAUCACAUUACACUUUUCCUGCCUACAAAAUAAGUCAUACUAAUGCAGGAUAUUUGGAAAUAAAACUCAUAAAGUAUAAAAUGUUCUCCCCUCGCUACACCCACUGACUGGAUCCUCACCAUUAUUUUAAAACAGCUUUGUAUCCAGCACAGAGCAGUUGAUUUACACUGCGUUUUGUACUGCAAAUAAAAAUGCAGUAUUUCUACACAAAAAUGGCAGGUUGGUAUAUAUUUACUUGUAUUGGUUGACCACACAAGAUGAAAUAUUGUAUUCCACAAGGGAAUAUCAUGGAUAAUAAUUUUUUCUGCUAGGAAAAUAAGGAAGUCAGGGAAGCAUUUUUCUAUUUUCCUAUUUCUCUAUUCCAGCUAAGUGUUCAUUGUAAACUUCAUCUAAGGAUGCAAGACACUUUAAUUUAGAAGAGUUUACAACAUCAAAUUUAAAUGUCUUAUCUUAAUUUUCAUUCAUGUUUAGGUUCUGUGAAUUAGAAACAGAACUACCUAACAUGAUAAAUAACAUUUCUUCUAAGCUUUGCUGUCAGAUACAUUGUGAUGGACAGAUUACACAGCAUAAACUUUUUUCCCCAACGUAAGAUGCUGCAGUACUGAAGCUAACAUUGCAGUACUGAUAUUGGUAGUAGUUCAAGAUUAAAUGUUCUUCUCAUUGUCAGUGAUGGACAGUGAGGACUUCAGUUUCAAUAAUCUCCUGCCAGCAUCUGAGAGUAAUGAGCUCUGGUGCCAGUCCAAUGGCAGGAGAAUAAACAGUAGUUUUAUACCUACCAUAAUAUGUGCAGUUCUAUGUUUGCUUGCAUGUUUUUGCAAUCAAAUAUACAAAGUACGUGUGAUCAAAUAUACCCAAGUAAUUGACUAAAAUUCAAGCUAAAUAUCACCCCCCAAUCUUAGCAUUUCUUUCAGUUUUACAUCUGACCACGUUUGUGGAUUUAGACCAUGAAUACUGUCUUUUAUUAUGUAACUAAUGUUCCUUUCUGUCAACUGCAACCUCCUAUAAAAAGGAAAGAUCAGAGAGUUUGGUGCCUGUAUCACUCAUAAUUCUGACCUUCACUGUUUUCAGCCAUAAAAAUCAGCAUCCUUCUCAUUUAGUUAUUUUGAACCCCAAGUUGCAUCUCUAAAAGAAAGGUGUAUGAGGAAAGAAUUUAUGCGUAAAAUCUACACUGAUGACUCAAAAUGAAAAGUUUUCAUUGCCUGGUAAACCAGAGCUGUAACAGGAGUUUAGAACUGAGUUGCUCACUCCUGAUUAUCAAACUUCUGUUCUUCAGUGCAUAGGAAAGUAAUUAAAUUUCUCUACCCAAAAAGCCAUGAGGAUAGUAAAUGUUAUUAUUUCAAGUAUGUUUGUAAUUAAUUUCUUCAGCGUUUGAUUUAUUUAUAAAUAUAAAACUAUGUGGAGGGGGUGAUACUCUGUGUGAACUCUGUGUAACUGCUGAGUAAACAAAAAUCUUGUUGUGUAAUGUUUAUCUCUUCUUCAUUUCCUUUUUUGCAGCAGUAGCAGCAUCCUAGUGCAGGGAGUAUACAGUAAGACCUUUGAUAGUAGAGGCAUGUAACCAUUCACGCUAAAGGCUCUUAGGAAAAUUAGCCACCCCUGCCAGUAGAACAAGCUGUAGCUUUCACCCUGCCUCACUGCCUGAAGUAGCUGCCAAAGUCCAGUGCCCUCUUGCACAUGAAAAUUUCUUUUGUUUCUUCUGUUAUGGUUCUUCUGAGAGAUAGGAUUUAAUCCUUUUAACUUUCAACAUGCAAAGGAACAGUUUGCUUCUGCAACUGGGAGAGGAAAUUGCUUGUUUAUUUGGACAGCCUUGAGGGAUGCAAUGAAAUUAGUGCAGCAAUCUGCAAUAACCUUACAGGAAUGCAUGCCACCAAAGAUUGCUAAGUACAAUACACUUUAAUUGGAACCCUCCAGUUUCCAGGACACUGUAUUAAUUAUAUAUGCUAGGAGUAAAUGGCACAGAACAGGUUGAGGCCCAAAAUACCAUAAAGUGAUCGGACAGUCCCCCUAACUACUCUCUACAUUGAAUCAUUACGAUUGCAAUAAAUAAUUCACAUUUCUACUCUGGUCUGAUUAACCCACGAUGAAAAUAGGUUGUGGAAUUAGCUCUUGGGACUUUUCUGAAACAAAACUUAUCAUCAAAAGCUGUACAUCAUAGCUGAGAUUCCAAAUACAAGGUAGGAUAAGUACUGAAGUGGUGAUGGCUAAUCAUAUAUAGCCCAUGUUCAAAAUAUUUGUGGUGCUGUAGUAGUACAUUUGGCAGUUCCAAAAAUUCAAAAUGCAUUGAUCAGGACAAAGAAAAUAUUGAAAUUUCUAAAAGAGGUCAAGGGAAAAUUUGAGUCUUGAAUGCUUUUUUUAGCAUUCUGUAUUUUAAAUCACAAAUCACAUUUUUAAACUUUCACCUAAUCUCUAAGGAUUUAAAGUAUCAUUUUAAAUACUUUAUGAUCUAAAGAUCAUUUUAGACUCUGGAGCUGGGGUAUUAUGAAAACAAUUAGAUAUUCCAAAAUUUGUGGAGGAGAUUAUGUGAAGUUCCAACUUCUAGCAGUAUCUCCUGUUCAGGCAAGGUAGAAAUGUGACUCAAUAUGUGAAAAAUACAUCUAAACCAGUAAGAGACACAUUAAAACAUAUUUAUGGAAAACAAAUAUCAGUGUUAUAGACUGUAAGUGAAAUGUCCCUUUAGAUGUGUUACAUAAAAGCGUUUGGGUUUAUGGCUAACAUGUAAGUAAGGUGUGCCAUACCUUUAACUGAUCUGUGUUAUCACAGGAGCUGUCCUCUCUUUCAUACAGCGUUUGGGCCUAUAAAAUUACAAGUCAGACAAACUCCUGGUUUUCAAAGUAGCAUUAUUAUCAAGGUAUGUUUCCCUCAUACCCACCUGCUUAUCAUGUCUUACACUGUAGAUGUUAAUGUAUCAUAAAUCACAGAGGACUAGGAAAGCACAAAACAUGAGUGAGAAUACAUUCUAUGUAUUUCUACUGUUUACAUAGCAUUCUACAGAAAGACAAGUUGAAUUUUCUGACAUAUAUUGCAAAACAAAGCCUUAAUUCUUUGUAAGGAUUAUUACUAGAAAAGGCAAAAGUGAGAAAGAAAACUUCAUGAAGAAUAUCUUGUCUUAUUAUGAAUGAUAAUAAAAUUCAUAUAAGCAGAAACUCAGUCAGUAUGAAGAAUAUUUAGUUUUGGUUGGAUAUGAUCAUGUCACAAGUCAUGCUAUUAAUGCCUUAAGUAGAUGCCUUAGUAGUAGUGCCAAGGUAGAUGCCUUGUCAAGCCUCCAAAGGGAAGGGAAUGAAUGAUGUGUUAGGUUUUAGCUUUCAUAUUUUCCAGAUUCUGUACUGCAUUGGUAUAUAACUCUGAACUUCAUAUAAAGUGUUAGCAAGUUCUCUUCACAGUUUAGUUAGACAAAACAAUCCUUUUCCAGUCCGAGCACCAAGGACACCAUUGCAGCUUCAGACCCAAAAAACACAAACGGUGAACUGAAGAGAGCAAAUGGUCAAUUGAAGAGAGCAAAGCAGGAGGAUGGGACUUCAUAGCCUGAAGGUGUAAUUGGACAAUUAACUCUAAUAUGUAAAUGGACCAAAACUUAAAAGUGUGAAACCUCCUGACUUGGCGUCCAUCUUCGGUGUAGUCCCAGCUGGGCUCUUGUACUGCCCAAGGUGUAACCUUUGAAGGGCUUCUACUAAAUACCUACUUUAUACCUGUAACACUGUCUAGCCUCUCAAGGCAUCACUAUGUCACUACAGGUGGAACCACAGCUGGGACAGGACACAAUGUUUUUGGAAAUCACAGGCUAUGUCCUAAAUUCUUAUUGGCUAAAAUGAUAUUUCUAUAUGAAAGAGGUUUUAAGGAUGUAACUACGUCUGUGCACUGUGGCUGGUGUUUAGAUUGAUUUUAGAUGAGGACACGGUACAAUCUUUCGAUCAAAAUAGAUUAGGCAAAUCCAGUUCGAGGAUAAAUAUUACCAGUGAAAGACAAAUGUGCCUCAUGAUGUUUACAUUUCUCAAAGAUAAAUAUUUUGCUUAAAUAUUAAAUAGAAGGAAGGUUCAAACUAUAGGUUGUGUUGUCCUUGCUUGUGAAUGACUGUCUCCUAAGGUCUUUAAUAAACUUUUAUUUUUUUGAAAAUGAAUGUUGCAUAGCAAAUUAUGUGGAUUUGAUCACAUCUCCCAAAAGACAGGAGAGGUCAUUGUCUGAGAGCUAGAAGAAGAGCUGUCCAAGCUCACUGAUAGUAUCAGAAUGUGUAAAUGCCUGAAAUAAGCAUUUAGUACCUUUUAAGAGACAGUUUUGGAUGUUAACCAGUAUGGAGCUAGAGUAAUCUUUCAAGAACUGAAGAGCGAGUGACAGGUUUUCAGAUAUGAAUGGUAUAUUUAUAAAAUAUGCAUAUUUAUUAGAUUAAGAUAAAACCAACAUGGACUUUAUCCCUUGAAAACAACAAUUUUUUUUCAUAGUCACUUUUAAUUUCCACAUGCAUCUUUUAUGCAUCCUCUUCCUUUCUUCUCUUUACCUUCUCUCCCAUACCUGUGUCAAGAGUACUGUCUCAUGAUGAUAUAUUCCAGGUUUAUUAGGAGUUCCUUAUAAGUAAUCUUUUAGUAAAAUAUUAAGAAAAAUUGUAUUCCAUUUUAUGCCAUGUCACAGAAUAUCCUGAGUUGGAAGCGAUCAACAAGCACCAUAGGUUUCAACACCUGGCCCUUCACAAAACAACCCUAAAAAUCACAUUGUGUGCCUACAAAUAUUGCCUAAGAUUGUCUUGAAAUCUGUCAGGCUUUGUUCUGUGACCACUUCCCUGGGAAACCUGUUCCAGUGCCCAACCACCCUCUGGGUGAAGAGAAUCUUUUCCUGGUAUCAAGUCUACUCCUGCCCUGACAGUGCUUCAGGUUAUUCCCUCAGGUCCUGUAACUGGGGACCACACAGAAGAGAUCAGUGAUUAUCCUUCCUCUUCCCCUGAUGAGGAACCUGCAACUGCAGUAAGGUCCGUCCUCAGUCUCUUCCCCAGCCUGAACAAAUCAAGUGAUCUCAGCAGCUCUUCACAGAGCUUUCCACCAAGGCCUUGACCAUCUCUAUUGCCCUUCUCUGGACACUCUCUAACAGCUUAAUGUCUGUUUCAUAUUGUGGUACCCAGAACUCAAGAUGAAGCUGCCCCAGUGCAGACCAGAGCAGGACAAUCCCCUCCUUUUCCUGGCUGGCAAUGCUGUGCCUGAUGCACCCCAGGACAGGGUUGGCCCUCCUGGCUGCCAGGGCACUGCUGACUCAUGUUCAAUUGCCAUGACCAGUCCCCCAGUUCCUUUCCUGCAGUGCUGCUCUCCAGCCUCUCAUUCCCCAGCCCGUCCAGGGUUGUCUUGUACCAGGUGCAAAAUCUGGCACUUCCCAUUUUUAAACUUCAUGUGGUUAUUCAGGUUAGACAGAAGGAAUUUCUUAACUGAAAGGGCUGUCAAGCACAUGAAUGUACUGUCCAGAGAGGUGGUGGAGUCACCGUUCCUGGAAGAGUUAAUGAAAUGACUAGACAUGGCAUUUAGUGCUCUGGUUAUUUCAAAAACUGUUGAUUGAUCAAAGGUUGGACUCAGUGACCCUGGAGGUCUUUUCCAACUUUAAUUAUUCCAUGACUCUAUACUGGGUGAUUACCUGUCUCUCUAAUUUGUCUAGGUCUCUGCAAGGUCUUUCUGUCUUCAAGAGAGUCAAGAGCUCCUUCUAAUUUAGUAUCAGCACACUUAGUAUAUCUUUGAGUCCCGCAUCCAAGUCAUUUAUAAAGGAGUUGAAGAGAACUGCUCCUAAAAUGGAGCUUGGAGAAAACCCAGAGCACUAGGUUGAUGUAACCACAUUCACAUCAAAAGAGUUAAAAAGUCAAAAGAGUUAAGAAACACUUUACUAUUUAAAGACGGAUUAUAGAAGUGUUAAUUGGAAGUGAUGAAGUUGAAAUUUAGAGUAUAAAUGUACAACUCAACUCAUAUAUUUUCUGCCUUGACAAUAUACUCUCUUUUUUGAGUAUGUGCUGACAUGACUACCAAAAUAUUCUCUGGUUUUCCUUACAAUUUUAGAAAUAUUUCUUCUGUUGAUUCACUUUAUGUCACCAGGUUCUGUGAAAACUCACAAUUUCAAAGGAAAUCAAAUGGCUACUAUUAGUUAAAAUUUAAUUUCAUUAUUGUCAAAUGUAUAUAAAAAUUUGCAAGCUUUUAUUUUAAUUUCUUUCAAGAAAUUAUAGAAUUUUUUUAAUGUAACAUCAUUACCAUUCUUUCUGUGACCCAGAAGAAAAAUGGGAUACUGUCUAAAAGACUUACUGAAUAAAAUUAAAAUACAAUGUAUCAGUAAAGAUGUGAAUAAGUAUUGAUACUUUAUGACUGGUCUAUAAUUUUAUAGGUUUAGAAUUUGGUCUUAUGAAAUAUAACGUAGGUGGCAGCAAGAAAAUAAUUGCAGUUUACAAAACACCAUGCACUGAUUUAUAUUGUCUUUAUGUUUUGUUAAUAAUAUAUCAGCUAGUCUCCAGAAACAAUAUGAUGUGUGAGGCAAUUUCUUGCAUUGUAUCCUUCCUCUCACCAAAGAAGUUUUCUUUAGUUGAUCUAAAAUAUCCCUUAGACCAAGAGUGCAGAUGUCACAUGAUGAACUGGCUCAGUGCUUAGUACAGAGUAUUAACAAUAAUGCUAAAGAAUGCAAUUUUACUCUUAGUCAAAGCACCUGAUUCUGCCACAUGCCUGACACUUGAAUUAUCCUGUGGAUGAAAGUCAGGGCACCUGUUUUCACUGGAAAAGUGUUUAGAUGGAGUCUACAAAGAGGGCAUCCUGUUUUUAGGUAUGCAGCAUGAUGAAUUACAUCAGAAUGAUGUAGUUCUGCUGAAGGCAAUGGGAUUAUAAUGGGUUGGUAUCCAAAUAUUACAACUUUAGCUUUGGAAUAAAUAUUAAUAAUUGCCGCUCACAUGCUGUACAGCACUGAGAAUAUAAAGUGGUGUCACCUUAAUGUUACCUAUUUUGCUGGCCUCAGUGUCUGACGAGCACAGGUUCUCCAGUGCAAUAUUGUGCACACAAAAAACCCCAGUAUGUGGAUAGUCCCUUAUGACAGAGAUAUUACUCUUUCCCCAGGCCAAUCUUUAUAGGCUUAUAAGUCCUGACUAUAAAGCUGAAAGGCUUGACAGCCCUGCCUAACUGAGCAUCCAGGCCCCAUAGUUCUUGAAAUCCAGCUCAAAUGUCUCAUCUAAACCCAAUAAAAUGCUAGCAUGUUUUAUAAUGGGGAGCUGGUGAUUAAGGUAAGCUAAAUAAAUUUUGCUGUGAAUUCUACUUUGAAAGAUGAACCAGAGCUGCUCAGGAAGUUGCAUGAACUGCUUAUAAGCCACGGUUUAACCAGUUGUGUAAUAAGGUGCUGAGAGUGGUUUGUACUCAAACAAAAGACAGAUUGGCAAAUCUAAACAAAACUAAUUAAAUUGAUAAAUGGACCCAAUGAAAGGUAUUAUACAGACAUAUACCUAUACAUGUACAUAUAAAAUUUCAAAAUAUAUUGGAAAAAAAUAUUUCAUCACCACUUACUAUGAGAAUUUAUGUUUGAAUAACUGUAGUAAUUUAAAGGUACAGAGGUAUUUUGAUCCAUGUAUUAGGGCACUGCACAGUCUUGCACAAGAAAUCAUUAGAUUUAAUGGGGUAUCCAUUCCAAGCACUACUGAAAUUACAAGAAGCUUACUUAAAAGAGAGAGUAUUUAAUUCUGCAUAUGAAUGAGUGUGUAAGCAAAGAAAAAUACUGAUUUUUUUCUUGAAUUUCCUGAUAUCUGACUGAGCCCACCAAAUGCUAACUAAUCUUUACUUUCUAAUACUGCAAGAAAAUUAAGAUUUUCAGCUAAUUUUCUUAGUUUCCUUGGAACCCUUUUUCUGUGUUCACACAGUUCUGUGAAAUGUCUCUGCUUCUGGCAUUCUGGCAUGUCUCUGCUUCAUUCUUCUAUUUUCAGCAUUGGUGUUUUGUGGAGAUAGGCACCUUCUUUAGCAUGUCGAUAACAUUUAAAAAUAGUAGAGGGCACAGAGAUGCCAGAGACUAUGAAGUAUUAAAGUAAUUCUAUGCCUAGAACCAAUCAUCAUGACUUCUAAGGAUAAUUGAAACAGCAUUCCUUCUUCAGAGCUUUUCUGGUUUUUCCUUUUAAAAGACUGGAAUGGUCUAUGAGCACACAUUUCUCAGCCUCAAGAGUUCUUGAUUGUUGUAUGCUGGUAAUUUUUAAUUUUUUUUUUCCUUUUUAGCUUUUUAGGGAUAUCUGGAAUGUUUUUCUUCAGAUUAUAUUGCUUCUAAGGAAAUCAGCAAUUUUCCUCAGAGGUAGCAUGUGGCAUCAUCUUGAAUCCUAUACUACUUAAAGAGACUGUUGCCUUUUGAAAUGCUUCACUAUAUUUUCCUCCUGAUUUCCUGAGUGUAAAUUCUGAUCUGGAAAAAAUUAUUUCUUCAAAGGCUACUGAAAAGACUAUAACUAUUCCUCUUCUGUGAUAUUCAAAGCCUCCUUUUAAUGCACCCAAUCUACUGUGGGUAUUCAGUCAUGUUAAUGUGCUAACACAGAAAUAUGUACUCAUAUAGAUGAGCAUUCAGUGUGUGAAAAUCUGCUAUGUGAGAGUAGGCAUAUUCUUACUCUCCUUAAUGAGCCAGUCCUUGAAAUGAUACUGGGCCAGCCAAGGUUAAGACAUGCAUUUGAAUUUCUAAACAGAAAAAACUUAAUAAAGUUCAGAUGCAGAAAGAAGUGGCAAAAAAGUAUUUUGAAAAAUAGUCUGGAAUAAGCCCAGAAGCUUGCCCAUGUUCCAGAAAUCUGAUAAUUUGUGCUAAAUCCUGCUUUCCAGUUUUGUUGGUGGCAUCUGUCAGUAGCAUAUUCUUUUCUGUUUUCCCAAUAAGUUGCAUUCACAGACAAUAGCUCUCCAAUUUGUGUAUACAUGCUUGUGUGCAUAUAUAGGGGGUGGGUGGAACAUGUAAACAAUGCAUUCUUGAAAGUAUCAUAUUAUUUCUCCCUUGUUAUUUAUUUAUAAUUAUGUAUUGCAUAAUUCAUGUAUACCUGUAUGUAAUAUACAUUAGGAUUAUUUUUAUGUCUGGAACCUCUUGUUCAAGUCUGUGCUGGAUUUCUGUAAAGUCCCAUGUAACAAUAACUUGGCAAUGGAGAAAACAUUUAUGUGAUGGAGCACCACACUUUACAAAGUUCCUUAAUGAUCUAAUGAAAAUCAGAAUUACAUGGGAAUGUAUGAGACUACAACCUCAUUUGUAACUAUAGACAAGAUCAAAUGUUUAAGGCAUCGGGGAAUGCCUUCCACAGAAUUCUGUAAGGUAAUGAAAUUAUGAUAAUUUUACUUCAUUUGAUUAUGCUUUAAUUUUACUUAUUAUGGGUGUAACUAGGAACUUAAUGUAUUGUCUGAUGUGGCAAGCAACAAUACUUGCAAAUGAGUCUUGAAUUGGUAAUGUUCUCCCCCUACCUCAAAUCAGGGUUUCCUAAUGCUUCUACAAAGCAAAGGUAAAUGGCAGAAAUUCCUUUAUUGUAAUGAAACAAUUUAUAAAGAACUUUCGUCUAUUUUUUUAUUAUUUACUUUAUUUUUAGAAAUUUAUAUUGUUUGUUGCAACUUAAUUUAUGAGUCCUCUUUUACAUAUGCACCUCAACCUUUAAUUUUUUUUCAUAUGAAGAUGAACUAAAACAGAACCCCUUUCUUUUUUUCACCUUUGACAGCAGAUGAAAGAAUAAUCUCUCCUGCACUACAUCAAAUAACCUUGUCUUUUCUAACAUUCUGCCUCACCCAAGGUGAUUUCUGAGCUUUCUCCGAAUUCCUUAAUGUCUUCCCUGUAUUUCACCGUUACUUUUCUAGUGUGUCUUUAUACUUUUAUGGUGUCAAUUGUGCUUGUACUUAAAAUCCUCCAGUCAAUUAAGCAGCUGAACUUUAAUGAUGGUCUAUUAGGAGACAUCUUGUUUCUGCUAAUUUUCAGGGACUGCACUGCCUCUUUUUUCACUUUGAAAUAAAAAAAGGUAUGUCCACUCUUCUCAAUUGAAACCAAUUACUCAAUUCCUGCUUGUUUAAACUGACUCGGGAUUUUCCCAGAAAAUAUCUAAGAGUAGUUAACAUUUGCCAUUCUGAGCAUAAAAUACUUUGGAAGAACUCCAUGAAAUGCAAUCUGAAAUUUUAUUUAGAAAACUGUUGUAGCACACUUACCAGAGCAAGUAAAACCUGCAGUUCGUUCAUAGAUGUACUGUUGAUAACAAAACCCACUGAAUUACUCAUGAAGUGAUUCCAUGUUUUCUGUCCUCAUCUCAUCUUACCUUGCUGUUAUGAUCCAAUUGUUAAAAGAGAUGCCUCCUUCUCCUCUUUUAGGCCUGGAAUUAGAGCCUUCUUUUUUUUGCCAUCUGUGCUUAUCUAGUGACAUGGAAAUUCUGGCAGCUUAUGGAAAUUUCCUUAUUUGUCAGUGUUUUGGGAGAAUUGAUUGUGCCCUUUACGUUCUUGCAUUUGCCUCACAAGAUGCAGUACUAAGAAGAUAAAACCACUACUCUCUCACAGCUCUUCCCUCUUACAGCUUAACACUAGAUACACAAUCCUGUUGUCACAGUAGUUCUUUUGGGGAAUACAGUGGUUUUUGCUAGGUAUGUUCAUUGUCCCUUCUCCUAGCAUAUGGAGUUAUCUGCAGUGAUAUAUCCCUGUUUCACUGGCCUCCUUUCAGGGAUAAGCUUUCCAUCAUUAAGAGGCUGAAAUAAACCCAGUGAAAUAAAGAAACAAUAUAAGAUUCAUUUUAAUAGUUAUUUUCAUCAAUUUAUUUGCAUUUUUUGGGAUUAAUCUAUAU